rnacentral:rRNA from 1 species
GACAGCAGCAGCCGCGGUAAUACAGAGGGUGCAAGCGUUAAUCGGAUUUACUGGGCGUAAAGGGCGCGUAGGUGGUUAUGUAAGUGAGAUGUGAAAUCCCCGGGCUCAACCUGGGAACUGCAUCUUAUACUGCGUAGCUGGAGUGCAGUAGAGGGUAGCGGAAUUUCCGGUGUAGCGGUGAAAUGCGUAGAUAUCGGAAGGAACACCAGUGGCGAAGGCGGCUCACUGGACAAUAACUGACGCUGAUGCACGAAAGCUAGGGGAGCAAACAGGAUUAGAUACCCGCGUAGUCCCUGUCUCUUAUAA